GACAGAGGUCCCGAGCGUUGUUCGGAUUCAUUGGGCGUAAAGGGUGUGUAGGCGGCUAGGUAAGUCAGGUGUGAAAUCUCAGAGCUUAACUCUGAAACUGCGCUUGAUACUGCUUGGCUAGAGGAUCGGAGGGGGUAACGGAAUUUAUGGUGUAGCAGUGAAAUGCGUAGAUAUCAUAAGGAACACCGGUGGCGAAGGCGGUUACCUGGAAGAUUCCUGACUCUGAAACACGAAAGCCAGGGGAGCAAACGGG
rnacentral:rRNA from 1 species